rnacentral:rRNA from 1 species
UACAGGGGGGGCAAACGUUGCUCGGAAUUAUUGGGCGUAAAGCGCGCGUAGGCGGCUACUUAAGUCGGAUGUGAAAGCCCUUGGCUCAACUGAGGAAGUGCACCCGAAACUGAGUGGCUUGAGUACUAAAGAGGGACGCGGAAUUCCCGGUGUAGAGGUGAAAUGCGUAGAUAUCGGGAGGAACACCAGUGGCGAAGGCGACUUCCUGGCCUGUUCUUGACGCUGAGGCGCGAAAGCUAGGGUAGCAAACGGG